rnacentral:rRNA from 1 species
AUUGAACGCUGGCGGCAGGCCUAACACAUGCAAGUCGAACGAGUGGCGGACGGGUGAGUAAUGUCUGGGAAACUGCCUGCUGGAGGGGGAUAACUACUGGAAACGGUAGCUAAUACCGCAUACCAUCGGAUGUGCCCAGAUGGGAUUAGCUAGUAGGUGGGGUAACGGCUCACCUAGGCGACGAUCCCUAGCUGGUCUGAGAGGAUGACCAGCAAAACUGGAACUGAGACACGGUCCAGACGCCUACGGGAGGAAGCAGUGGGGAAUAUUGCACAAUGGGCGCAAGCCUGAUGCAGCGAUGCCGGGUGAAUGAAGAAGGCCUUCGGGUUGUAAAGUACUUUCAGCGGGGAGGCGUUACCAGCAGAAGAAGCACCGGCUAACUCCGUGCCAGCCGCCGCGGUAAUAC